rnacentral:misc_RNA from 1 species
ACACCCGUAUUGUUGGAUUAUUCUGGGUCGUGACGGAGCUUAGCUUUGUUCAUUUUUUUAUACAACAGGACUCACAGCGCCAAUCUGACUUGCGGCACACACGGCCAAAUUGGCGCAGAGACGAGCUGUCGAAAUGCCCUGAAACGCCCUGAAAAUGGCCACUACGCCCUAAUUCAGGGCAG